UCUAGAAAUGUUUUCCGCGUUGGACCGCACACAAGUCUGUUGGAAUACAGCGGCAUAGUGGUGAGACCCCCGUAUAUGGUGCGGACGCCCAGCGCUUUGUGAUACAUUUUCGAAGAGUCGAGUUGUUUGGGAAUGCAGCUCAAAUUGGGUGGUAAAUUCCAUCUAAAGCUAAAUAUUGGCGAGAGACCGAUAGCGAACAAGUACCGUGAGGGAAAGAUGAAAAGCACUUUGGAAAGAGAGUUAACAGUACGUGAAAUUGUUGGAAGGGAAACGCUUGAAGUCAGACUUGCUUGCCGAGCAAUCGGUUUGCAGGCCAGCAUCAGUUUUCCGGGAUGGAUAAUGGUAGAGAGAAGGUAGCAGUUUCGGCUGUGUUAUAGCUCUCUGCUGGAUACAUCUUGGGGGACUGAGGAACGCAGUGUGCCUUUUGGCGGGGGUUUCGACCUCUUCACACUUAGGAUGCUGGUGGAAUGGCUUUAAACGACCCGUCUUGAAACACGGACCAAGGAGUCUAACAUGCUUGCGAGUAUUUGGGUGUCAAACCCGGAUGCGUAAUGAAAGUGAAUGGAGGUGGGAACCGCAAGGUGCACCAUCGACCGAUCUGGAUUUUUAAUGAUGGAUUUGAGUAAGAGCACGUAUGUUGGGACCCGAAAGAUGGUGAACUAUGCCUGAAUAGGGCGAAGCC
rnacentral:rRNA from 1 species